rnacentral:rRNA from 1 species
CCUACGGGAGGCUGCAGUGAGGAAUAUUGGUCAAUGGCCGUAAGGCUGAACCAGCCAAGUCGCGUGAAGGAAGAAGGAUCGAUGGUUUGUAAACUUCUUUUAUAGGGGAAUAAAGGUAUCCACGUGUGGCUAUUUGCAUGUACCCUAUGAAUAAGCAUCGGCUAACUCCGUGCCAGCAGCCGCGGUAAUACGGAGGAUGCGAGCGUUAUCCGGAUUUAUUGGGUUUAAAGGGUGCGUAGGUUGUUUUUUAAGUCAGCGGUGAAAGUUUGUGGCUCAACCAUAAAAUUGCCGUUGAAACUGGAAGACUUGAGUGUGUUUGAGGUAGGCGGAAUGCGUGGUGUAGCGGUGGAAUGCAUAGAUAUCACGCAGAACUCCGAUUGCGAAGGCAGCUUACUAAGCCAUAACUGACACUGAAGCACGAAAGCGUGGGGAUCAAACAGGAUUAGAUACCCUUGUAGUC